GAUGAACGCUGGCGGCGUGCCUAAUACAUGCAAGUCGAGCGAACAGAUGAGGAGCUUGCUCCUUUGACGUUAGCGGCGGACGGGUGAGUAACACGUGGGUAACCUACCUAUAAGACUGGGAUAACUCCGGGAAACCGGGGCUAAUACCGGAUAAUAUUUUGAACCGCAUGGUUCAAUAGUGAAAGACGGUUUCGGCUGUCACUUAUAGAUGGACCCGCGCCGUAUUAGCUAGUUGGUAAGGUAACGGCUUACCAAGGCGACGAUACGUAGCCGACCUGAGAGGGUGAUCGGCCACACUGGAACUGAGACACGGUCCAGACUCCUACGGGAGGCAGCAGUAGGGAAUCUUCCGCAAUGGGCGAAAGCCUGACGGAGCAACGCCGCGUGAGUGAUGAAGGUCUUCGGAUCGUAAAACUCUGUUGUUAGGGAAGAACAAAUUUGUUAGUAACUGAACAAGUCUUGACGGUACCUAACCAGAAAGCCACGGCUAACUACGUGCCAGCCGCCGCAGUAA
rnacentral:rRNA from 1 species